GAGAGGUGGAAGAGUGUUGCUCCAUGCAUCAGGAGACAGUAAAGGGAGUAAGAAGAAUAGACUCCUCUUCCUCCUCCUUACUGUUGAAGACCUGCACAACUUAGGAAAUCUUCCCAAGAAAAUAAGGAGAAGAAUAUUACAGCAAAUUUGUCUGGCUGAGUCAGCAACAUCUGUUUGAGCAAGCCUAUGCAGUGCUCCAACACAGAGGGGCCUUGAUCAUCCUGAUGACAAAUAAGAGAAAAAUUUGCUCCAGGUUGCAGACUUGGUUUCCAGAGCCUUUUUCGCUUGCCUUAUUAACAUUGGGAGGCAUCACUUGAUAUACCUGAUCUCCAAGUCAGUGCACAGUUACCUAUUCGAUUUGCAGACCAG